AACGUAGGAGACAAACGUUAUCCGGAGUUACUGGGCGUAAAGGGCGUGUAGGUGGUUUCGUAAGUCUGGCGUGAAAUUUUUCGGCUUAACCGGGAAAGGUCGUCGGAUACUGCGGGACUGGAGGACGGUAGAGGCGUGUGGAAUUCCGGGUGUAGUGGUGAAAUGCGUAGAGAUCCGGAAGAACACCGGUGGCGAAGGCGGCCUGCUGGGCAGUUAGCUGACACUGAGGCGCGACAGCGUGGGGGAGCAAACAGG
rnacentral:rRNA from 1 species